rnacentral:rRNA from 1 species
UACCCACUCUCAGCAUGAGGAGGUAGUGACGAAAAAUAACAAGACCGUUCUCUAUGAGGCCGGUUAUUGGAAUGAGUACAAUUUAAAUCCCUUAACGAGGAUCUAUGAGAGGGCAAGUCUGGUGCCAGCAGCCGCGGUAAUUCCACCUCUCAAAGUGUAUAUCGUCAUUGCUGCGGUUAAAAAGCUCGUAGUUUGAUAUGCGCUACAGGAUUCGGUCCGCCCAUUGGGCGUGAACUGAACUCCUGGCCUAGUAUUGUUGGUGUUCCUUACGUUACCUUAAUCGGUUGCGUAAGGUGACUAACGAGUUUACUUUGAAAAAAUUAGAGUGCUUAACGCGGGCUUAUGCCUGAAUAUUCGUGCAUGGAAUAAUGGAAUAGGAUCUCGGUGCUAUUUUGUUGGUUUUCUGAUCUGAGAUAAUGGUUAAGAGGGACAGACGGGGGCAUUCGUAUCGCUUCGUGAGAGGUGAAAUUCUUGGACCGUAGCGAGACGCCCGACUGCGAAAGCAUUUGCCAAGAAUGUCUUCAUUAAUCAAGAACGAAAGUCAGAGGUUCGAAGGCGAUCAGAUACCGCCCUAGUUCUGACCGUAAACGAUACCAACUAGCGUUCCGUCAUCGGUAAAUAUGCCUUGACGGGCAGCUUCCCGGAAACGAAAGUGUUUCGGUUC